rnacentral:lncRNA from 1 species
CAUUUUCCUCAAAUCUUCAUUUCCUUCUCGUCAUAGCCGGCAGCCAGAGAGAUCAGAGAAGAGCAAACCCCUCUUGAGUUCUUCCUCCAAUUCCUUCCUGUCAAACCAGUCUUGGGCGGUUCACUAAUUGUCGAUUGAGCUAGGCGCCGAUGUGAACGGUGAACCCAUUGGUACGAAUUGUGAUAUCAUUUCCAUUUCAAUUUCAAGUACGAAGUUUUUUUCCUAGCAUGUUUAUUGUUUAAUUAUUGUUUUUUUUUCUUUAGUAAUUUGUUAUGCUCUGUUUGAUUUGUAUUGAUAUUUAGGGUUUUAAAAUUGAUUCAGCUUCGAGGAUUACUUACUGUUUGGGAAUUUUGUUGAAAUUGGUUUUAUUGUGAUGUUUUUAGUUGAGUGGUUUAGAGAUUUGUGGUUUUAUUGAACUGAUGAAGCCCAUUUUUAUGAUUUUGAUAAUUAGAUAGAUGAUUUUUGUUGUUUUUAUAAUUUUGAUUAUAUGUAUUAUUUGAUUGCAAUGCAAACUUGCUGCAGUUAGUAAAGAAGUUAUAAAUGGUGGAAAGUAAUGGGGAGAAACGGGUUUGAAAAUGAAAGUUUUCAUCUUUACACCAAACUUAUGGAGCUAAUUGAAUUGUUGAUUUGUCUAGAUAUGCUCAAUCCAAACUUGAAUGUUGAAUUGUUGAUUUUUUAAUCAAUUCUAAUUGAAAAUUAAAUUAGGGAAUUUUGCAGAUUAUGAAAUGAUUUUUUCAACCGAAACGAAAGUCUAUACCUAGUUCUCCUAGUUCCAGUUGUACUUCUAGUCCUGCUACUGCUUCUAGCCGAGUACACGAGUUGUUAAAUAACAAAAGAAGUCUCGGGCUCAAUUCAAUGUGGAUGAUCUUGUAUCUGAUCGAGGAAUACGCCCCCUAUCGAGUCAUAUGAUCAUAAUAUCAGAGAUGAUGCUAGGAUGACAUACUCAGAAAAAGGUCCUUAUCAACUACAUGGACGUGACUUUCCAAGAAUAUGGAUAGGAAAUGAAUAUAAGUGUUUUCGAAAAGAAUGGUUUUCUGAAUUUUAUUUGUUCAAGUACAGUAUAGAAAAUUAUGCGGCUUAUUGUUUACAUUGCUACUUGUUCAAACCUGAUAGAGAGGGUCAAGGGGGUGGACAUAUAUUCACUAAGAUUGGCUUUAGGGAUCGGAAG